rnacentral:lncRNA from 1 species
AUGGGACUUGAACCCAGCCAAAACUCAGAAUGGGACUUGAACUCCUGGGCUGGGACUGAAACCCACCAUCUUUUAACUGAAAUUGCACUCCUGGUUUUGGGACUUAAAGAACGGGAGUUUUGUUUCGUGUUGGAGUUUCCUCUAUGGACCAGACUUUUUUUUCUAAAGAGGCUUCUUCCAGGCUUAUUUUUUAAAUCUAAUUAUACAGUAUAUGAACACUGUAUAUACAGUUAUUUUACAGUUAUUUUUAUAAAUGAUUUACAGAAAAAGCCCUAUGAUCAAGACCAACAACGUGCUUUCCCUUCUCUCCAGACCUGUUCCAGGUACUGCCGAAAAGAUAAGAAAGAAAAUGAUGGGGAAAAUGUCACAGAGGCAAAUGUUAACAGGUUUGACUAUCUAAGCCUUUUAAAACAUCCAUCAGAGGGAUUUUGUGGGGAAGAGGCAGCUGUGACUGAAAUAGGACAUGUCUGUGACGGGAGGGAAAGAGGCCACUCAAUCUUGACGCUUCCUUCUUCCUCAAACUCACCUGCCUCUGAGCAUCACCAAGGCGUUUGCAUUCGGCCUCCGUCUGUGGCCUCAUCUCCUUCCCCGAAGCCUCAUCUUACUCCCGCCACCAUUAUCUCUCACCUGAGCUGCUGCCUCCACCUCCUAACUGGUCUCCCCACUUCCACUCUGCACCCCACAAUCCUUUCUUCUCACAGCAGCAAGAGUGAGACUUCUAGAGUGUAAGUGAACCCUUCUUAAUACUCCUUAUGUACAAUCCAAACUCCUGGAUGUGGCCUGGCCGCUGCCCACCUCCCGCCUAAUCCUCAGGCGCUCCCCAUUCUCCUCCCUGCACACUCCCCUCUCAACCCUGGCCUGUCCUCGGUUCCAUCUGAACUCAGUACUCUUCCCUCUACUCCCUUCUCCCCUGGUUUCUCAUCCCCUGUUCCUCAGCCUGGGUCACCUGCACCCAAACCCAAGCAGCUCCCUCUCUCACAGUGUGUUUUUCCCCCGAAUGUAUAAAUAUUUGCUAUUUGUUUUCUCCUUUCUUUACUGCUCAACUCCCCUGAAUAGUCUAAGCUCCUUGAGAGCAGGGACCACUCAGUCUUCUUGUCUACAGCAGCUUUGAUACGCAGCACAGUGUCCAGCCUGUAGUAAAUGGUCAAUAAACAGUCACUGAGUGUAAUGCAUGCUAAGACAAGAGCAAGAGGGGCUCCAACUUUGGGCCUGCACUUUAGAGGCUCCUGCUGCGGCCCUCCCAUGCUCUGCCCCUUCCUAUAGGAAGCAGAGAAUAUGUGUCCACCAGGCUUCUCCCCUCAAGUCCAUGUACCUGGGAUCCUAGAGUUCCUUUUGCAAUGCCCCUCACCCUCUUCCACGGCCUUCAAGGGCCUCUUUCCUGGGCCCAUCAUCCCAAGGACAGGUUGGCUCACCUAUGUGUGCAUCCCUAGGCCUGAAGUCUGGGUGUGCAGUGGAACCUAGAUGCGCUUGCUGAGGCAGUCACAAGCAUGCCCCCGAGACCCUGUGCGGGACGGGGUAGAGGUGCAGGGUUAGAAGAGGGGGAGGCCAGCCCUGCCUCCACCUCCGCAUUCUGGAGAGAAGCUCUUAGGAGUCCAGGAACUCUAAAUUACAGCCAGGACCUCCUGGUUGUUCUGAAGGUCUAUUUCUCAAGGUAGGAGGAUAGUCUAUAUGUAUGUACAUAGAUAUUUAAAUGUAUUUUAUUGAAGGAUAGUUCAUUUACAAUGUUGUUUCUGCUAUAUAGCAAAGUGAUCCACACAUACACACACAGAUAUAAAUAUAUAUA